rnacentral:rRNA from 1 species
GAUGAACGCUGGCGGCGUGCCUAAUACAUGCAAGUCGAACGAACGGGCCAUAAGUUUGUUUGUUGGUCGUUAGGGGCGGGGGGGGGGGAAACGCGUGUAAACCGUCCUUAAAUUAUGGGUAAAAUUCGGGAAAACGGGAUCAAACCCGGGAUAAACUUUUGAACCGCAGGGUUCAAAGGUAAAAGACGGCGUUGCGGUAAUUACUAGAGGCUUCCCCGCUGCAUUGGCUAGUAGUUAAGUUAACGGCUUUCGAAGGCAAGGAUGGAUAUCCGACCUGAGGGGGUGGUCGGCCACAUGGGAACUGAGACACGGUCCAGACUCCUACGGGAGGCAGCAGUAGGGAAUCUUACGCAAUGGGCGAAAGCCUGACGCAGCAGCGCCGCGUGAGUGAUGGAGGUCUUCGGAUCGUAAAGCUCUGUUAUUAGGGAAGAACAUAUGUGUAAGUAACUGUGCACAUAUUGACGGUACCUGGUCAGAAAGCAACGGCUAACUACGUG